rnacentral:rRNA from 1 species
UACGUAGGGUGCGAGCGUUAAUCGGAAUUACUGGGCGUAAAGCGUGCGCAGGCGGUUUUGUAAGCCAGAUGUGAAAUCCCCGGGCUUAACCUGGGAAUGGCAUUUGGGACUGCAAGGCUCGAGUGCGGCAGAGGAGACUGGAAUUCCUGGUGUAGCAGUGAAAUGCGUAGAUAUCAGGAGGAACACCAGUGGCGAAGGCGGCGAUCUGGGAAGAUACUGACGCUGAGGUGCGAAAGCGUGGGGAGCAAACAGG